rnacentral:lncRNA from 1 species
UUCAAGGGAUUGGUAUCCCCGUGCAAGGAGGUUGGCGAGGCCUCAGGGGACUCCCAGUUCAGCGAAUCCGUUAGCCUUCCUCUGCCUUAGUCACUUCCCCGUGAGGCACUCCGUGUUUGUGUACACGGUUAUUCCACGUGUCAGUCAGUUCAUCGGGCGCAUCCGGAGUCAUUGAAAACAGUAAUAGGAAGUCAAACAAACCCGCUUGAUGCAAAAAUUCAGGAGGACAUUCGGUUUUUAAGGAAAUAGUGCUGAGGAAGGACCAGGCUGGAGCUCCUUGGACCCUGAGACUGGGAGCUAUUGUUGCAGCUCAGACUUCAUCCUCUUUCUCCUGGACUGUUGCUUCCUCCUCACUGCAGACCCAGAGGAACCUUUCGAACACCCAAACCCGUUCUCCCAUGGUUCAAAACCAUUCCAUAAUUUCCAUGACUUCCCCCAUUGACGUGGGAGGGAGUCCGAGCUCCUCAGCUUGGCAUUUGAGGCUCUUUGAAGAGGGCUACUUUCUCAUGUUUUGAUGGAAGUCAAGAAGAUACCAGUGGAAGAGGGGCUGUGCACUACAAUCCCUUGUGCAUUUGAAUUUCCCAAAGAACCCCCAAGCAAUUCCAUGAUCAUGCACUACUGGCUCAACAAAAACAUCAGCUCCCUGGUAGCUACAAAUAAACCCAAUGCUACCAUUGGUGAUAACACCAAGGACAAAUUUUACAUGACUGGGAAUCUUGAUGAAGAAGACUGUACCCUACUCAUCCACGAUAUACUCAAAGGGAACAGCAUAAUAUAUUUAUUCUACGCAGAUCUAGGAGAACAAAAAAGUGCUUUCCUGGGGGAGAAUAUCAAACUUUUUGUGUCAGGUGAUGUUCAAUAUCAUCCGAUAAGUGGUUUGGAAAGAAGGAAAUC